CUUGCAUUGAUUCAUUGAAUUCCUGAAGCGAAGCUACACCAGCACAUGGGUGGCUUUGAAAGGGGCCUCCCAGAGCCUGGGGCUCCAGAGGAAUUCACUCCCCAAACCUUUGUUGAGCAGCUACUGUAUGCCACGCUUUGUGCUAGAGGACAGGACUGAUGCCACCCCUGCCCCCAGGCACUGACAGGGUAGCAGAGGGAAGACACAUGAGCUGCUUUUUAAUUUUUUUUAGAAUUAAUAGAGACGGGGUCUCACUCUGUCACUAUGUUGCCCAGGCUAGUUUUGAACUCCUGGCCGCAAGCAGUCCUCCUACCUCAGCCUCCCAAAAUGCUGGGAUUACAGGUGUGAGCCACCGUGCUUAGCCAUGAAUUGAUUUUAAAACCUUAAAUGAGGGGCCAGGUGUUGUCUUUCCGUUUGCCUGAGUGACGCGGGUCUUCUCCAGGACAUCCGGCCACAGAUCUGCCCACGGAGGAGGACUUUGAGGCCCUGGUUUCUGCCGCCGUUAAGGCUGAUAACACCUGCGGCUUUGCCAAGUGCACAGCCGGCGUCACAACCCUGGGCCAGUUCUGCCAGCUCUGCAGCCGCCGCUACUGCCUCAGCCACCACCUGCCCGAGAUCCAUGGCUGCGGUGAGAGGGCUCGCGCCCAUGCCCGGCAGAGAAUCAGCCGGGAAGGGGUCCUCUAUGCCGGCAGCGGGACCAAGAACGGAUCCCUGGACCCAGCCAAGAGGGCCCAGCUGCAGAGGAGGCUGGAUAAGAAGCUGAGUGAGCUCAGCAACCAGAGGACCAGCCGGAGGAAGGAGAGGGGGACGUGACCGGCCGCAUCCUUGCACGCCCCGCGGAGCUCUCUCCAUGGUAGCCCAGGGCGCUGGCAGACCAUGCUCCGCCUCCACCAGGGCCACAGAGGAGCGGAGGGGCCUAUGGGGGAGGAGCGGAGGGCCCUGUUGGGGAAGGUUGGGUUUUUGGACCCCAGGGAUAAGCUUUUCCGAUGUCACAAUGUGGAGGAAAGCACCUGGGGGACAACAGUGCUCGUGCAGGUGGGGCUUGGGAAAUGCACGUCCCUUCCCCUUACUCCCCGCCAAAACCCACAUCCCAGCCUCUGGAUCCUGGGGAAGGUUCCAGUCCCUGGAGAAUACCCAGGGCCUCAAACUUGAAGUCACUCCUCCAAUGUCUGGGACUUGCCAGCUCAGCCCGUUAGGAUGAGGGUGCUGAGAGGAAACAGGAAACAAGACUGCGAAUGGCGCUCAGGCAGGGAGCAGGGAGUGGCGUUUGGCUUGCACGUUCCCAUGUGGCCAGAUGCUGGGGCCACUUUCCUUCUGUCUGCUGGUGACUGCAGUGUUCCCCCUCCUCCUCACCACGGGGCUCCUGUGAGUCUGGGGGGCACCUCUUUCUGGCCUGUGCACCUCUCUCUGGCUUAUAAAGGUGCCUGGCCUGUGCCAGCCCCUCCUUGUUGCGCCUCACCGUGGGGACCAGGUGAGCCGGCUCUCCCACGUGGUUGUCCCGGGAAAGCUGCCCCACAGCCUCAGCAUCUUCAGCACUUACCGAUCCAGAGCCUCCCGGCCUUCUCCGGUGUCCUGUACCAACUCUUCUAUUUAAGAGAACCUCAGAUGAUGUACCUGAGCCUCAGGGUUUUGUUUCAGAGGGAUAUAAAUUAUUUAAAAAUUAAAUGAAAACGUUGCACACUG
rnacentral:lncRNA from 10 species